rnacentral:ncRNA from 1 species
AACUUAUCAAGAGAGGUUAAGGUACUGACCCACCAUUACACCUCAGCAACCAGUCAUUCAUGGCGCGGUGCUAAUCUCAUUAAGUAGCUAUCUAGGUGAUAAGAA